rnacentral:rRNA from 1 species
UGGGGAAUUUUGGACAAUGGGGGAAACCCUGAUCCAGCCAUCCCGCGUGUGCGAUGAAGGCCUUCGGGUUGUAAAGCACUUUUGGCAGGAAAGAAACGUCAUGGGUUAAUACCCCGUGAAACUGACGGUACCUGCAGAAUAAGCACCGGCUAACUACGUGCCAGCAGCCGCGGUAAUACGUAGGGUGCAAGCGUUAAUCGGAAUUACUGGGCGUAAAGCGUGCGCAGGCGGUUCGGAAAGAAAGAUGUGAAAUCCCAGAGCUCAACUUUGGAACUGCAUUUUUAACUACCGGGCUAGAGUGUGUCAGAGGGAGGGGGAAUUCCGCGUGUAGCAGUGAAAUGCGUAGAUAUGCGGAGGAACACCGAUGGCGAAGGCAGUCUCCUGGGAUAACACUGACGCUCAUGCACGAAAGCGUGGGGAGCAAACAGG